rnacentral:rRNA from 1 species
UUAGGAAUUUUCCGCAAUGGGCGAAAGCCUGACGGAGCAACGCCGCGUGAGCGAUGAAGGCCUUCGGGUUGUAAAGCUCUGUCGGAGGGGAAGAACACAAUGACGGUACCCUCCAAGAAAGCCCCGGCUAACUACGUGCCAGCAGCCGCGGUAAUACGUAGGGGGCAAGCGUUAUCCGGAUUUACUGGGCGUAAAGCGCGUUAAGGCGGCCGCGUAAGUUGGUGGUGAAAUCGCAGGGCUCAACCCUGCAACUGCCUCCAAUACUGCGCGGCUCGAGUGCGAGAGAGGAAGGUGGAAUUCCCGGUGUAGUAGUGAAAUGCGUAGAUAUCGGGAGGAACACCAGUGGCGAAGGCGGCCUUCUGGCUCGCAACUGACGCUGUAGCGCGAAAGUGUGGGGAGCGAACGG